UACAGAGGUCUCAAGCGUUGUUCGGAUUCAUUGGGCGUAAAGGGUGCGUAGGCGGCUUGUCGCGUCAACUGUGAAAACCCGUGGCUCAACCAUGUGGUCUGCAGUCGAUACGGGCAGGCUAGAAUUCGGUAGGGGAGACUGGAAUUCCUGGUGUAGCGGUGAAAUGCGCAGAUAUCAGGAGGAACACCGGUGGCGAAGGCGGGUCUCUGGGCCGAUAUUGACGCUGAGGAACGAAAGCGUGGGGAGCAAACAGG
rnacentral:rRNA from 1 species